rnacentral:rRNA from 1 species
UACGUAGGGGGCGAGCGUUAUCCGGAUUCACUGGGUGUAAAGGGAGCGUAGACGGCCAUGCAAGCCAAGGGUGAAAGCCCGGGGCCCAACCCCGGGACUGCCCUUGGAACUGCAUGGCUGGAGUGCGGGAGGGGCAGGCGGAAUUCCUGGUGUAGCGGUGAAAUGCGUAGAUAUCAGGAGGGACACCGGCGGCGAAGGCGGCCUGCUGGACUGCGACUGACGUUGAGGCUCGAAAGCGUGGGGAGCGAACAGG